AUUGAACGCUGGCGGCAUGCCUUACACAUGCAAGUCGAACGGUAACGGGCCUUCGGGUGCCGACGAGUGGCGAACGAGUGAGUAAUACAUCGGAACGUGCCCGAUCGUGGGGGAUAACGAGGCGAAAGCUUUGCUAAUACCGCAUACGAUCUACGUAUGAAAGCAGGGGACCGCAAGGCCUUGCGCGGACGGAGCGGCCGAUGGCAGAUUAGGUAGUUGGUGGGAUAAAAGCUUACCAAGCCGACGAUCUGUAGCUGGUCUGAGAGGAUGAUCAGCCACACUGGGACUGAGACACGGCCCAGACUCCUACGGGAGGCAGCAGUGGGGAAUUUUGGACAAUGGGCGCAAGCCUGAUCCAGCCAUGCCGCGUGCAGGAUGAAGGCCUUCGGGUUGUAAACUGCUUUUGUACGGAACGAAAAGCCUUCUUUUAAUACAGGAGGGUCAUGACGGUACCGUAAGAAUAAGCACCGGCUAACUACGUG
rnacentral:rRNA from 1 species